AGCAGCCGCGGUAAUUCCAGCUCCAAUAGCGUAUAUUAAAGUUGUUGCAGUUAAAAAGCUCGUAGUUGAAUUUCGGGGUCGAUAAGUUGGUCGUGCCAAUGGUAUGCACUGGCUUUAUUGAUUCCUACCUCUUGACGAACUGUGAUGCCAUUAAUUUGGUGUCGCAAGGAAUCAGGACUGUUACCUUGAAAAAAUUAGAGUGUUUAAAGCAGGCUUACGCUUGAAUACAUUAGCAUGGAAUAAUGAAAUAGGACGUUUGAACCUAUUUUGUUGGUUUUUAGGAUCGACGUAAUGAUUAAUAGGGAUAGUUGGGGGCAUUAGUAUUCAAUUGUCAGAGGUGAAAUUCUUGGAUUUAUUGAAGACUAACUACUGCGAAAGCAUUUGCCAAGGAUGUUUUCAUUAAUCAAGAACGAAAGUUAGGGGAUCGAAGACGAUCAGAUACCGUCGUAGUCUUAACCAUAAACUAUGCCGACUAGGGAUCGGAUGAUGU
rnacentral:rRNA from 1 species